rnacentral:lncRNA from 1 species
AUAAGGAGUCACUAAGCUAUAACAAAGAUUCACUUAUCAGGUGGGCAUUACUUUCAUAUAUAUCAAAUGAGUUUAAAUGUUACGUUCAAGCAAGUUAUUUCAUGACAAAAUCUUUGAGUUAAAGUUAUUUCAAGUAUUGUCUUGCCAUAAAAUGUUUCAAUUUUAGUAUGAUAUCUAUCUGCUUUGGCUUUGCCAAUGAUGCAAUCGAAUUCGUGUCCUGAGCAGUUGAUAGCUAUCCUGUCAGGACUAGUGUACACCAGUGACCGUGAGUCAUCUAGCGGGUUGGCCGGUCAAGUGUCCGUGAGAGGUGGCCACCUCUCCAGCACAAAGUUCCAGAUAUGAUAGAUUACAAGAGAACUUAGUCUGCAGAUGAACUUUAAGAAUCACAAAUUAAUUUAGUAAGUUUGGGCCUUUUAGUUAAAACUCCCUUGCUGUACUGUGUAUGAUGGCAUGACAAUUUAUAGUUUUUAUGAAAUGAUGUGUAUAUUAGGCAUACGUGCCCACUGAGUACUCUCGUACUCAGCCCUGUAUAUAUUUCUAAAUGUGCAGGUUGAGAAAUGGCUGAUGGUGAUGAAGUGACGAGCAGAGCUUUUGUCUUAGGUUGAAUGAAUGAACUCUUGGAUACAUGUCUUCAUACAUGUAGUCAGAUUAUGUUAUUCCGCUGCGUACUCUUAGAUCUUAUUCCCUUUUAGUUAAGUCGGAUUCAUCUGAACUUACAAGUCUGUUUGAGUCUUUGUGACUAAACAUCAGUUAUAUUAUGAAUUUUCCCUUCUUUAACAAUUAUUUUAGUUCGAUCCUCUAUUAUUUGUUCACUUCCUUUCUAUCGCCGUUUAUAACUGUGUCAUUAGUUACGACUUCCUGGCUUAAUUAUCCUUAAUUAAGUCCGGUUGUGACAUUGAAGGUAGCAAACCAAAGCAAGUGAAAUUGCUUCUUGGGAAGCAUAGCAAAU